rnacentral:rRNA from 1 species
UACAGAGGUCUCAAGCGUUGUUCGGAUUCAUUGGGAGUAAAGCGGGUGUAGGUGGCUCUAUAAGUCAGAAGUGAAAGCCCCGAGCUUAACUCGGGAAGUGCUUUUGAUACUGCAGAGCUUGAAUGUGGGAGAGGAUCGUGGAAUUCCAGGUGUAGUGGUGAAAUACGUAGAUAUCUGGAGGAACACCGGUGGCGAAGGCAGCGAUCUGGCCCAACAUUGACACUGAGACCCGAAAGCGUGGGGAUCAAGCAGG